rnacentral:rRNA from 1 species
UACGUAGGGGGCGAGCGUUAUCCGGAAUUACUGGGCGUAAAGCGCACGCAGGCGGUUCGCCAAGUUUGGAGUGACAGUUGUCGGCUCAACCGACAAAGGACUUCAAAAACUGGUGAACUUGAGGACGAGAGAGGGACAUGGAACUCCAGGUGUAGUAGUGAAAUGCGUAGAUAUCUGGAAGAACACCAAUGGCGAAGGCAAUGUUCUGGCUCGUUUCUGACGCUCAGGUGCGAGAGCCAGGGGAGCGAACGGG